CAGAUUAGCUUUUGGUUUGUCCAUAAGGAUUGAGACUGGAAAUGGCAAUUGAAUCAGACUUUUAAAGCUGAUGUGAGGACUGAUUUCAUGGUGUUGGAAGUAAGAACUGGCGAUCUUAUACUGCUAACAUAUUGGUUAGCAUCACAGCUUGUCCUUUUGCAUACUGCCUGGAGUAGAAUUUGGAUCUUUUUGAGGUGCCCUUGUGUGGUCAAUCCAAUGGACAAUAACAAUCGUGCAGACCAGAUAUAUAUUGCUUUUUUUGUAUAAUAAAUUCUUUAAAUGAUAAUUCUGAAAGCCAAAUGAUUCAUUUUUUUAUGCUGUUACUUUUUCUAUUUACUGUAUAUUAAUAAAAAAAAAGGUUUUUAAUGCUGUUAUUCAUUUGGCUCAAAUGUAGUAUACAGAUAUUUAGUUCCAGAUUUUGAUAUAUGUAUUCCUAUGCAAAUAAAAACUUGUAUUAUAGUUAUAAAAAUAGUUGAUUAAUAUUAUUUGAUGAAAUGGAAAAUUAUAAUUGUAAUGGUUGACAAUUUGAUAGAAUAGAAUAGUCUUUUAUGAUUGACUGGUAGACAGAUCAACAGAUUGACAAGUCAACAGAUGCCUAUAUUAAGGAAACUCACUUGUCAUGUUUUGGAACUUUGGUAAGGCAGCAACCAUUUGAUUUUCGGGGGGGGGGGCUAUGUUUUUUUGGGGAAAAAAAAGUUUGUUUCCAGUUUUUGGAGAAAAAAAUAAUUUGUUUUUGAUAUUGAAAAAAAAAUAUUUUUGUUUCACCCUAGGCUGCCACUAUAUGUAAGCUAAACUUGAAAGAAAAAAAUUGUUUACGGCUUGUCGCGGGAAAAAAAGAUAAAAAACAUAGCCCCCCCGAAAAUCAAAUGGUUGCUGCCUAAGUUUUUCUGAAUCCUCUGGUCUUAUCCAUUUGAAUGCCAUAACAAAUUUUGCCCGGUGACCCCCAUUUUUCUUUUUAUAAUUUUUUUACAUGUAUAAUGUUAAGCUGUCUGUUAAAGUCUUAUAUAAUUUUAAUUCAUUUUUGAGGACUUAAACUUGUCAAUGAUACAGCUAUGAAAAGUCAUUAAAGAACAUUUUCCCGCCAAAAUUUCAAUGGCUAAUAUAUCAAAACAGCAUGGUGACCUAUGUAUUUUUUUUGUUGCUCUUUGGAUUCCUUUAUUAAUCCCCUAUCGAUAUAAACUAGUCUUUUGAAACAGAGAAGCGAGUUCCCUUAAAAUAAUGCCUUUCUUUUUAAGUAACAAUAUAAGGCACUUAAUUAAACAUUAAUAGAGCAUUUCCUCAACCCUUAAACUCACUAUCAUCCUUUACUUUAACCCUACUUUAACCCUAACCCUCACCCUUAAUCUAACUCUAAAGGAAGUUUGCUGCUCAGUUUCAAAAUAAAUUACUUUCCAUAAAACUAGUAUAUAUUGAUAAGAGAUUAAUUGAG